rnacentral:rRNA from 1 species
UACGUAGGGGGCAAGCGUUAUCCGGAUUUACUGGGUGUAAAGGGAGCGUAGGUGGCAUGGUAAGCCAGAAGUGAAAACCCGGGGCUCAACCCCGCGGAUUGCUUUUGGAACUAUCAGGCUGGAGUGCUGGAGGGGUAAGCGGAAUUCCUAGUGUAGCGGUGAAAUGCGUAGAUAUUAGGAGGAACACCGGUGGCGAAGGCGGCUUACUGAACAGAAACUGACACUGAGGCUCGAAAGCGUGGGGAGCAAACAGG